AUUGAACGCUGGCGGCAGGCCUAACACAUGCAAGUCGAACGAGUGGCGGACGGGUGAGUAAUGUCUGGGAAACUGACUGCUGGAGGGGGAUAACUACUGGAAACGGUAGCUAAUACCGCAUACCAUCGGAUGUGCCCAGAUGGGUUUAGCUAGUAGGUGGGGUAAAGGCUCACCUAGGCGACGAUCCCUAGCUGGUCUGAGAGGAUGACCAGCCAAACAGGAACUUAUGCACGGUCAGGACUCCUACGAGAGGCAGCAGUGGGGAAUAUUGCACAAUGGGCGCAAGCCUGAUGAAGCCAUGCCGCGUGUAUGAAUAAGGCCUGCGGGUUGUAAAGUACUUUCAGCGGGGAGGCGUUACGCGCAGAGGAAGCACCGGCUAACUCCGUGCCAGCAGCCGCGGUAAUUC
rnacentral:rRNA from 1 species